GGAAAAGGCUUUGCUUUCUUUUACUAACCAAUGUCGUUAGUUAACUUAUAACCAGGCUUAAUUCCUUUUGUCUUUGCCCUGCAUAUAUUUUCAUGCAAUCAAUGAAUUUAAUCCCUUUUUAUCAGGGUUUGAACAAAAUUGACGAAUGAAUUAAUAAUUAAUUCAUGUGAUAUAUGAAAGUUAUCAGAAGAAAAAGUAGGGUCUUUCACUUCGAUAACCCUAUUUGACCGAGCUGUUCGUCUGGGAAAGGUGAAAGUCUGUUGAAAGUCGAAGACAGCCUUCAAGAAAUGCGACUACUUGUUGGAAAGGACGAGCAACUGAAGACAUGACACGGUUGAGAUAUUUUAGCCAUGUUUGAAAGCGGCAGGUUAAAUACAGAAAAAUCGUCGAUGACAUAAAGAUCAUAUUCAAAGCAUCGUUAUGAGUCCUAUUUGUUCGAAGGAAUGAUCGAUUUCUUUGGUUUCUUAGUAUUUCUAUGUUUCGAUCUUGGAGCACAAAAAUGCCGUCAAGUUUCAGUUACAUAUUGAAGUGAGAACACGAACGAAACUGCCAAAAGUUUCCCACUAUUCUUGACAUCAAUUAUUGGACCUCUUCAAUACAUGUCCAGAAAAUAUUUUCA